CGAAUUCUGCCUCUGUGUGGAGCCACCAGCAUGGACGUGGUCCACUGCCUGGAGUUUGUUCAGUAGAGCCCUCUGGUCGGCAGGGAGGCCAGGAACUCCCUUGUUCCAGGUGGUGAGGAGACUCCCCAUCUGUGUAGCAUCCUCUUGCGGAGAGUGAGCUGGGGCUCGCCUCACACAGGGAGCUUCCGAGCCAGCAAAGAUGGCAAACAUCCGAGCUUCUCACGGUGCCCGGGACGACCCUGUUCUAGGUGUCUGGGAAUGUCGACGAAUGACUGAAUGGACAGCCAGACUCCAUGUUGCUGAGAUCAAGCCUUUCCGAAAAGCCGUGAGCAGCGCUCGCAUCCUGAGAUUCUAAGGACCUAGAAGAAGGUGGAGCCACAAAUGGAAGGAGCCUGGGGCCCUCAUUGGAGCAGAGCCAUUUCCACUGCAGGCCCACAGUGGACAACCAC